rnacentral:piRNA from 1 species
UGCAGGUGUCAACUCUGAAAUGGUCAAGC